rnacentral:rRNA from 12 species
GAACUGGUGCAAAGACGCCGGUUGGUGGAUGACUCGGCUUGAUAAGCGAAGAAGGACGUGGCAAGCUGCGAUAAGCCUGGGGUAGGUGCAUGCGACCGUCGAUCCCGGGAUGUCCGAAUGAGGUCUCUCUUUACACUCCCUUGCUUUGUUGCUUGGGAGAGCGAACCGUCCGAAGUGAAGCAUCUGAGUAGGACGAGGAGGAGAAAUCAAUUGAGAUUCCGUCAGUAGCGGCGAGCGAAAGCGGAACAGCCCAAACUGAAUCUGCCGUGGUAACACGGCAGAGAUGUGGUGUUGCGGUUAUAGCGCAUAGGAUCCUGCCUUUGGAGCUGAAGUGUACUGGAAUGUACCGGAACAGAGGGUGAUACCCCCGUAGGCAAAUGGAGGCGGGAUUCUGCUAUAUCCAGAGUAGCUGGCCUUGGCAGUGGCCAGUGAAGGUGGGUGAAAGUAGUAUCCAAGGCUAAAUAUUCAUCAAGACCGAUAGAAAACUAGUACCGUGAGGGAAAGUUGAAAAGUACCCCGGAAGGGGGGUUAAAAGCGCCUGAAACCAACCGGUUACAGACGUGUAUGGCUCGAAAGGAUAAAAUCUAGAGUCAUACGUUCCGUCUAGAAACACGGGCCAGGGAGAUUGCUGUCAUGGCAAGCUUAACCUUUUACAAAGGGAAUGCGAAGGGAAACCGAAUUUGCGCAUUUUCUCUUUAUUGAGAAAAGAGGCAAUGGAUCUGAAAGGGUCUCAAGUCAUGGCAGUAAGGCUAGAAACCGGACGAUCUAUUCCUGGAUAAGACGAAGGUGAGUGAAAACUCGCUGGAGGUCUGCAAGGGUCCUGACGUGCAAAUCGGUCCCCUGAUCUGGGAUUAGGGGUCAAAAACCAAUCUAGUCCGGUGAUCGCUAGUUCCCACCGAAGUGGAUCGCAGUCCUGCCUUAGCUGAGAUGGCCUGUAUUGUAGAGCACCGAUCGGGCGGUAAGGGCUCGAAAGAGCUCGCCAUCCAUUCGAACUCCGAAUAUACGGGCGUCGUAGAAGCUAGGAGGCGGGUUUAUGUGGGGUAAGCCUCAUAACCGAGAGGGGGACAACCCAGACUAAAGUUAAGGUCCCCAAAUGUCUACUAAGUGUCAAACCAAAGGGUGUUUUCGAGCAGAGACAGCAGGAAGGUAGGCUCAGAAGCAGCCAUUCUUUAAAGAGUGCGUAACAGCUCACCUGCCGAGCUCGAAAGCCCCGAAAAUGUACGGGGCUCAAGUAGACUACCGAUACUUUAGACCACCGACGAUGUCGGUGCGUGGUAGGUGGGCGUAGUGUUUGGGUAGAAGCUGGGCUGUAAAGUCCAGUGGACCGAACUACUAGUGCAGAUCCUGGUGGUAGUAACAGCAUAGCCGGGUGAGAAUCUCGGCGACCGCAUGGGCAAGGGUUUCCCGGCAAUGCGUCAUCAGCCGGGAGUUAGCCGGUCCUAAAAACAACCUCAACAGAAUUGUUUGAAUGGGAAACUGGUUAAUAUUCCAGUGCCUUGAAAGUUCGUUAACACCUUUUCUGUCGCUUCCGGAUAGGGUAAGCAGAACCGUCGUUCUGUCCAAGUAUUCUAGCUUUGAGGAGUACCGUAAUGGCGAGAAUCAAAGCGAGAUACGAAUGGCCCUUCGCAAGGAGGGUUUGCUUGAGUCCAGGAGACACUGAAAGCAGAAACAGGGAGAUACUUUCAAGACCGUACCGAGAUCCGACACUGGUGCCCUGGAUGAGAAGUCUAAGGUCUAUCGGGUAUACCGUAUGGCAAGGGAACUCGGCAAAAUAGCUCCGUACCUAUGGUAUAAGGAGUGCCUGCAGUUUUUACGAGGAGUAGGGAUUGCAGGUCGCAGUGACUAGGGGGUCCCGACUGUUUAAUAAAAACACAGGUGGUCGCUAGUCCGAAAGGAUGUGUAUGGCCUCUGUAUCCUGGCCAGUGGCGGUACCUAAAACCUGGGUACAACCGGGCUAAGGGCCGCUAAACGCCGGGAGUAACUCUGACUCUCUUAAGGUAGCCAAAUGCCUUGUCGGGUAAGUUCCGACGUGCAUGAAUGGAACAACGAGGGCCCCGCUGUCCCUGCCUACAACCCGGUGAAGCCACAUAACGUGGACGAACAGUCCACGAACCUCUGUCGGGGAGAGAAGACCCUGUGGAGCUUUACUGCAGCCUGUUGUUGCGAUAUGGUUGCAAAUGCAGAGAGUAGCUGGGAGCCGUUAUGGUCAGUUCUCCGGGACUGAUCUAGGCGACAGUGUAACACCAGCCAUUUGUUACCGUAUCGCUAACCUGCUUAUGCAGGGACAUCGGCAGGUGGGCAGUUCGGCUGGGGCGGCACCCCCUUGAAAAUGUAUCGAGGGGGCCCAAAGAUUGGCUCAGGCGGGACAGAACUCCGCCGGUGAGGGCAAAGCCAAAAGCCAGUCUGACUGGAUUCCCAAUGAUACGGGAUUCAGAGGCGAAAGCCGGGCUUAGCGAUCCAUCAUGUCCUCACUAUUGGGGGCUGGUGGUGACAGAAAAGUUACCCUAGGGAUAACAGGCUCGUCGCGGGCGAGAGCUCCCAUCGACCCCGCGGUUUGGUACCUCGAUGUCGGCUCUUCCCAUCCUGGUUCUGCAGCAGGAGCCAAGGGUGGGGCUGCUCGCCCAUUAAAGGGGAACGUGAGCUGGGUUUAGACCGUCGUGAGACAGGUCGGUCUCUGCCUGACAGGGGCGUGGUUGUCUGAGGGGAAGUUGCCCCUAGUACGAGAGGAACAGGGCAGCGCAGCCUCUGGUUUAUCAGUUGUCCGACAGGGCAAGCUGAGCAGCUAAGCUGUUUAGGAUAACUCCUGAAAGCAUCUAAGGAGGAAGCCUUUCCCGAGACAAGACAACCUUCCGUAAGGAGAAGGGCGGCCAUAGAAGAUGGCGUUGAUGGAAUGGAGGUGUAAGCACCAAGCUUUCAAGCGAGGUGUUCAGCCUGCCAUCACCAAUAGCCCAACGCACCUGUUG